UGUCCUUGUCUCUCCCGUUUUUGCCCGUGCUUUUCCUGGCUCUGUAGUUCCAGAUCCAGGUGAUUUUGGGUUUCGUGGAUCCGCGGUAGGUGUUUUUUUUAUCGCGGGAUGUGCAUGUUGCCGCCAUGGUGUUCUAGUCCACCAUGGUUGUGCGCCGGAGUUUUGGUUAGAGCUUGCAGCACACCAUGCGUAGUCUGCCAUGCCGUAGUCUUCUGUUUUUGUUGUAGAAGUAGGCCAAAUCCCGCCCGGUUAGGCUUCCGUAUGCCAAAUCCUGGGGCAGUGUUCUGCUGUUGAUGUAAGUUUCUCUGUUGUUGAUGUGGAGGUAGGUGUAGUAGGCGUUAGUUUUCAGCGGUGGAUGACGUAGCUUGACUCUGAAGAUCGAGUUCUGGUUGUUUGUUGGGGAGAUUUUGCCAUCUUCUGGUGUCUUGUUUGGGGUUGUAGUUGUAGUUGUAGUUGGCUGCUCUUGUUUUGAUGUUCUAGCCCCUGAAUUUCGUCAUGUUGUAAUGUAUUUGUUCCCUGAUGUUUGUUCAUCCUGCUGGUUACUGAACUUCUAUGUUCCGAAUGUUUCCUUUCUGCAACUUCCUGAAUUUUCAUGCUUGUUUUUCAGUGUUCCCCUAUAAUAGGAGUGUAUGUUACACCCAGAUAUAAAGAGUAUCCGUAUGCAGUUCUGCUGUGCAAUUUUUAACCCUAUUAGUUGCCCUAUAGAUUCACUAUACCUUGUCUUGUAGAGCUUCACUGCAACCUCAUGCGUUCAGUGUUUUUGCCAUAGUUUCAGUGUAAUUUUUUUCAGUAGUCUGUAUGUAGCUUUUUCCUGUUUUUUGAGUGUAUUAAACCCCUAGUUUAUGGUGUAAUUUCCCCCGUAUUAAACCCCUAGUUUAUGGUGUAAUUUCCCCCGUAUUAAACCCCUAGUUUAGUGUACUCAGUGUAGCUUGUUGCUGAACUUUUUGGAUGUAAUAUAUCCCUAGUUGCUUUUCUAACCCUGCAUUUUCACAGUGUAAACCCCCCCCCCCCCCACCCCCACCCUCCUAUUUACUGUGGUGUAAAUCCCCGCAUAGCUAGUUUCUUAAUGGGUAGAGUACGGCAUCUGUCCCAAGGAUGUUCCGCUAGUUUCUUCAGUUGAGAGUGCUGAUUCUUUAAAAGAUCCUUUCGUGCCUAGUGAUUUUGCUGAUGAUGGUUCUAAUGCUCUGUCUUUGGAUUGUUCUGGUGAUGAUGAAGAGUUUGAUAAAGCUCUAUACAAUUUCUAUGUGAAUAGUAAAGUCAAGUACCUAAAGAGGAAAUUAUCAUUUGCUAGUAGAAGGAAUGUUGUAAGUCUCUUUUCUCUUCUUGUGUUUUAUUUGUUGUACCUUCUUCUCUUUUGGUUGCUUGUUUGAUGUUAUUUUCGACGGGGUUUCCCUUACGUAUAUUUAGUUUAUUUUGCAUUAUUAAUGUAGUUCUUAUUAUGUUUUUCUGUAGAGGCAGAAACGAUCUUCUGAUUUCCCCGUUUGUUUGACAUUCACUAGAUAUUCUGGAUUUUUAGUUUUGUGUUGCACUAUAUCUUUGGGUAUCGGAUUUUAGUUUGUUGAGGUGAAUGAUUGUGUAGUCCAUUGAUUCGUUCGUUUGUGCAGUCUUCUUUAUUGUGAUUUUGUUGUAGCAAGCUAACGACUGGUACUAAGUAAGUUUUUACUUCAUCAUCUUUAUUUCUCAGCGUAUAAUAAUUGUUUAUAGUUACUUUUUUGCAGUUUAUUAUUUGUCAUUUUGCAUUCUGUUAUUUUUAAUUUUGUUGUCUCUUCUUAUUUGUUGUAGUGUUGUUUUAUAGUUCUAAAGUUCUUGAAGAAUCUUUCAAACAACUAAAUCUUUUUGAGUGGCUACAAAGGGCUGCCUCCCAGGGAUUAGCUUCCGCUGCUGCCUCUUCGCCUGUUGAAUCAUCUUCAUGCAUUUCUUGCCAUGUCUGCAAAAUAAUUCAACUUAUGCUUUGUUAUUCUCUUAUUUUCUAUACCCUUAUUUGUUUUGUAUUUGUUUCAGACAUGAAUUUUACUUACAUUUUGUGUCUUUUCCUGAGUUGUAGCUGAUUUCUGCUUCUUUGCUGGAGUUCCCCUCAUUUUGGUGAUUCAUGUUUGUAGGUCCAUUCCCUGAGUGUACAUGCAAGCAUCGGGAUAGUUCCAUUUUCAGCUAGAUACCAACAGAUGUAUGCCCAAAUAUAGGAGAAAAUGGAAACGCCGGCAAACAUUAUAGGAUUUCACUAGAUGUAUGUUCUCAGAGGAGCAUUUUUUUACAGUGUAUUCCUAUUUGAUUUCAUCUUAUCAGCACUCAAAACAGAGGUGGAAUAGUUCUGCUGUAGCUUGAGGAGUUGAAUAUUUUCAUGUACCUGCGAUUUGUCUCUGGGAUGAUCUUGUUGUGAUCCCCAAGUGACUGCUUGUGUUCUUCCAGGUGCUUUUGUUCUCCACGAAAAGGAAAGGAUUGUGGGCCCGAUCGGUUCUACAUUUGUUUGUUGUUAUUAGUUGCUUGACGGGUCAGAUUUUCAGACCCGUCUUCUUCAGAAAAAACAUACAUACAGACAAUUGUUUUUUCAACGUACAGCUGUGAACAGCUGAUUGGUUGGAAAAUUUGAAUGAUAUCUAAUUACAAAUCAGUCGAAUGCCAAA